GGGACUUUCGUUCGGUUCUGCUUGGCGGCGGUGAUUUCCUUCGGUUCUGCUGGGCCCUUCUAUCUAGCGGCCCCUAGAAGGGAGCACGGGUGACGCCAUCUCGUCUGGUGCUGAAGCUCCCAAACAGCUCACCUCGUGGCAGCAAGGUACGCCUUCAACUCAUUCCUCCCCUAUCUCUUCCCCCAACGCAACUUUCUGCCGUUAGUUGCUCCAGGCAAAGGAAGCUUGAGCAGGUAACAUAGCGCCCACCUCAUUCAGAUUUGAUUUUUGCAGUAGUACAAAAUUCAUACCUGCCGCAUCACCAAUACGAGUACUCCAGGAAAAUGUGAGUGGGAAACAGAUUAUGUGCUUGAUAAAGUUUGUCCUUUGUAGAAUCACAUGCAAAUUUAGUACAUUGAUCUGCAAUGGGAAAUAAACAAGCUUCUCAUUCCAAAUCAGCAUUAUUUUGAGUUAUUACAAGGUUAGGAAUCAGAUUAUGUACUGAUAAUCAUUUUAUUUCAAGCUAAAUUGUAAUUGUUAGAUGGUCAUGUCUAUUAAUUUCCUAUAGACAACCCUUCUUGAGUUUCCUAUGGAUUUAUUACGGUUUCAAAAUGGUCAAGCAUUCAAGCUAGCAGCAGCAAAAAUUUGUCCCAACUAUUAAGCUACAAGAUUUAGCAAUGCAUGCUAUAUGUAGCAAUUUGGCCCCAAAAACCUGAACACCAUACCACAGAAAUUAGAAGACUUAGCAAAGCAUGCAUUCAUGUGACCAAGCAUCAUAUUGCAGUUACAAUACACAUAGAUUGAGUAAUAUAUCCUUGCUUUUUCAGGAGUCAGUCAAAAUAUGCAAGUAUGUGCACCCAGUUUGUUCAAGCCCCUUGCUCAGAAGUUGGUCUGGAGAUGCAAGAAUACAGGUAAACUGCAUAUAUAACUGCAUUUUUACGCAGAACUGAAAUCUCACAGAAACUACACUAAACUGGAUUGAGAUUAUUGAAAAAUGUUAAUUAAAUGUUAAAUGGAUAACUUUGUGAUAAUCUACACCAUAUCUUUAUGGACUAGGACCAAUCAAAACAACAUGCAGGAAUUGUUCAUCCUCAUGGAACCAAAAAACCAUCCAUCCACUUUCACUGCAAGUCAACACUGUACUGAGCUUUCCCUGUCCAUACACUUCCGAAACAGAAUGCCAGAUUGUUAAAUACUGACCAAGAUAACGAUAUUUAGAAACAAAUCACCUCACCCUCACCUCUUUCUGAUUAGUUUUUUGCUGCUGAACUAUUGCUGUCGGCUGUCGGAGUGCCUUUGCUGCUUGGGGUUCUUGCUUAACUUCCGCCUGCUGUGGAUGCCGCUUUGUGCUCGAGUUCUUGCUUAACUUCCGCCUGCUGUGGAUGCCGCUUUGUGUUUGGGUCUUUCCUUCUUGCUGCUGGUGUCGCUGUCUUUUUGUUGGCCAGGGGCAUGAUAUCUGGGGCAGCAGCCAAUCCUCCACGGGUGAAGUGAAGGUUUAUGUUUGUCACAAUUUCCAAUAUUAGCAUAGUAUGUAUUUGCAUGUUGCAAAGAUCUCAGUAUGAGGAGAUUUAGAUUCAUUCAACUCAACCAUUGACAGGCAGGGAGACAACAAAGGGGGCAGUAUAAUUGCAUCCCAUUAUUAUUUUUCUCUUUAUUAGAUGGCAUAUUGUUAUUUGUUCUAUAUAUACUUAACGUCCCCGUAUGGCUGCUUUUGAGAAAAAACCCGUAUUACCAUGUAUCCGUGUUUCUUAGUUCUUAUUCAUCCUAAGUUUUAGCAGAUUAAUUAAUCAUUUGCUUUUCUCAAUUUUAUUGUUUUGGAAAUUUUGUUCCUCUACCAUUUAUCAAGUACGGUUUGCGAGAGGUGGUUGCUAUUCAUACGUUCUAGUAUAUGUAAUACAAAAGGUACUUCUCAUUCAGUAUUUAAACGAUCUGGUGUCGUUCUAUUGCAUGGCAUUUGAAUUGCCCAAUGCUUGGUUGUGAGAGAUGAUAUCCAUCUCAGAAAGGAGAAAGGGUCACUGCUGGUCAAAUGCUUUGUGCCUAGGACUGAUAUGAACUUCUCUUCCACAACUAGACAAUUAUCCGAUCUAUUUCAAUUGUCUGGAUGUUAACUCGAG
rnacentral:lncRNA from 1 species